ensembl:lncRNA
GUUUUAAAGCUCUUGGCAGCGCUGAAACCGCAAAGUUUUUAACGGUCUUUAUUUAGCCACUAACUCAGGAGACUCGGCUGUGCCUUUGCUUUUGGAUCUGACAGCUGCCUUUAAUACUGUUGACCACAGCAUCUUGAUCUCACAUUGGGGCAUUGCAGCAUCAGAUUGGUUCAGUGGCAUUAGAGUGGUUCAGGUCUGAGAGGACUUUCUCUGUGAGCUUUGGAGAUUUUAUCUCUUCCUCAGCUCCCUGUAACCCACACAAUUUCCUCAGGGAUUAAUAAACUAUGCUGAUUCUCAUUCUGAUUACUUGUGGUGUUGCCCAGGGAUCUAUAUUGGGGCCAAUUUUAUUCUCUAUUUAUAUGCUACCUCGAGGUCUAUUUUUUUUUUUUUAGAAAAUAUAACAUUUGUUUCCAUUCAUACACCGAUGACACUCAGAUCUAUCUAGGACUGAAGACGAGCUGCCCUGCCCCACUGCUAUGGAUAGUUACCCCACCAUUACUUCAGUGUCUCGGUGAAAUUAAAGCCUGGAUGGCCUCUAACUUCUCUUUAAUGAGAAUAAAACCAAAGUGAUAAUUUUUGGACCAAGUGGCAAUCCCAGCACAGCUGAUUUUAACCGGCACAGUCUUACUGCUUAUAUGUUGGAGUUAUCCAGAUCUGCCUUGUAAGACUGCAGUUGGUCCAAAAUGUCGCAGCUCGUCUUCUGACACGAACCAAAAGACGCGAACAUAUUUCCCUGGUGCUUGCCUCUCUUCACUGGCUCCCUGUUCACUUUGGAGUUGAUUUUAAUUUUUUUAUUGUUGACUUAUAAAGCCCUGAAUGGAAAGGCUCCUGGGUAUUUGUCUGACCUCCUAUGGGCCCUCUAGAUCUAUUAGAUCAAAUGAUCUUCUGCUUUUAUGGAUACCAAGGUUGAGGCUGGUUCAAAGAGGCGAUCGAGCGUUUGGGGUUGUAGCGCCUUAACUGUGGAAUAAUCUACCCCUACACAUCAGACAGGCUCCUUCUGUGAAACCUUUUAAAUCUCAUCUUAAAACACAUCUGUAUUCACUGGCUUUUAAUGCAGUAUGAAAGUUAUUUGUUAUUUAUUUGUUGUUUGGUACCAUCAUAAAUUAUUUGGAAUUAGUUGUUUUGUAUUUUUGUACAGCACUUUAGUCAACGUUGUUGUUGUAAUUAAACGUGCAGUAUAUAUAAAUAAACGAUAACGAAACUAUUAUGGUUUGAUCGAGGAGGUGAUCAGGGUGUCAAUGGGACAGUUUGAGCACAUGGGCGAGGUUCUCUCUUAAACGCUACACGGGUAUUUUUG